rnacentral:piRNA from 1 species
UCCCAUGGUGAUAUCUGAGGGAUGUGGUU